CCUACGGGAGGCAGCAGUGGGGGAUAUUGCACAAUGGAGGAAACUCUGAUGCAGCGACGCCGCGUGAGGGAAGACGGUCUUCGGAUUGUAAACCUCUGUCUUUGGGGAAGAAAAUGACGGUACCCAAAGAGGAAGCUCCGGCUAACUACGUGCCAGCAGCCGCGGUAAUACGUAGGGAGCGAGCGUUGUGCGGAAUGACUGGGGGGAAAGGGAGCGGAGGCGGGCGGGAAAGUUGAAUGUUAAAUCUACCGGCUUAACUGGCAGCUGAGUUCAAAACUUCUAGUCUUGAGCG
rnacentral:rRNA from 1 species